rnacentral:rRNA from 1 species
UACGUAGGGUGCAAGCGUUAAUCGGAAUUACUGGGCGUAAAGCGUGCGCAGGCGGUUUUGUAAGUCUGACGUGAAAUCCCCGGGCUCAACCUGGGAAUUGCGGUGGAGACUGCAAGGCUAGAAUCUGGCAGAGGGGGGUAGAAUUCCACGUGUAGCAGUGAAAUGCGUAGAGAUGUGGAGGAACACCGAUGGCGAAGGCAGCCCCCUGGGUCAAGAUUGACGCUCAUGCACGAAAGCGUGGGGAGCAAACCGG